rnacentral:ncRNA from 2 species
GGACGACGUUACUUCUCCGGCGCACCCCAGCCCAGGGCGGCAGGACCCAGGAAGCCGGUGUGAAUCCGGCACGGUCCCGCCACUGUGACCAGGGCCGUCGCGCGAGCGACGGCCUGGAAGCCAGGAACUGACCUGUCGCCCUUCUCCCAC